UACGAAGGGGGCUAGCGUUGCUCGGAAUCACUGGGCGUAAAGGGCGCGUAGGCGGCCGGCCAAGUCGGGGGUGAAAGCCUGUGGCUCAACCACAGAAUGGCCCUCGAUACUGGACGGCUCGAGACCGGAAGAGGUUGGUGGAAUUGCGAGUGUAGAGGUGAAAUUCGUAGAUAUUCGCAAGAACACCGGUGGCGAAGGCGGCCAACUGGUCCGGAUCUG
rnacentral:rRNA from 1 species